ensembl:lncRNA
CAUUUCUUUGUUGUGUUUCAGAUCUUUGUGAGAGCUCACCUGAAAGGCUGAUUUCUCGGGUAGCUUUUCUUUCUUCUUCUUCUUCUCGUCCUCGUCCUCCUCCUCGUCCUCCUCACUGUCUGUCUCAAACAGGUAGUAAUCACCGCUCCUCACCACUGCGGGCAGACAGACAGGUCAGACCUACAGACGGUAACAGAGUGACUGACAGGUGAGAGAGUGAUUGUGUCAGAGGUCAUGUGACUCACUGGAGGCGUGGUUUACCCAGGGUCUCCACCACUUCUUCUGGCCCCGCCCCUUCCUCUUCUCCUGAUCUACAUAACAGACACUCACGUCAAAUUGUCUGGCGACUGACAGCCAUCACCAUGACAACGAAUGUACACCUCAUGUUGCGUUCACACCAAAAGCAAAGUGAAUUCUCGCCAUGAUUUAAUCGCCCAAUUAGUUUAAUUCAUUCAUUCAUUUGUCUGCAUUUGCGUCUCCUUCAUCCGCUUCAUAGGCGCCGGAAGGGGGCGUGGCUUAUCUCUGCAGCUUGUCUCCGUAAAGACAGUUAUCGUCCACCAUGGCAACAAACACUAUGUCAGUCUGUGCUGUGUGUGUCUCCAGUGACUUUCAUAAAGUGUAUUGAGGCUUUGGCAGCAGUACGGCGGUGAUGACGAGCGGAGCAUCUCAACGCCGAUUGGCUUUCGCUAGACAGCGGCGGGACGAAAAGGCGAUUUAUUGGCUUUGCUUCCUUCGCGUCCUUCACGCUGAACAUUUGCGUACUUCGCAACAACAAACCUUCGGUGCAGAAGCUGCCUUGGGUCAAACUCAACAAUUUCUCUUUUCCUUUGCGGAACUUCUUCUGUCGGGAUUUUAUUCGUUCCAUCCUGAAGCACAUGGGAGACAAGAAGUGGUUCACCGGCGGACAGGUGUGUCCAUCAACAUCUGGUCCCAGGUGAAACUUGUCUCAGUGCUUUGACCCUCUGAACUACUUUGCGUGUCUUACUGCCUCUUCAGAAGGUCCAUGGAGGUCUUCUCCACCUCUAGCCUCGCUCUGACAGCUUUCACUGUGGACGCCUCAAAGAGCUCCGCACCCCUUUAACGCACACACACACACACACACACAUCAACGUGUCACCACAUGUCCGUUCCUUAACAUCUGUUCAGGUGUGUGAUUGUGUACCUGGAGGCCAGCAGUUGUGUAUUUUGUAGGUCAAGGACCACACACAGGAAGUACUGACUCCUGAAGACCCGCCUCUGAAGCAACAGGAAACAGAAGCAAACGCCGUCCCAAAUGAUGCCGGCCUCGUCGCUAGGCAACUCACACUGCUUACUGCUCUGCUGCUCCGCUGCAGGAAGUUAUGAGUGGUAAACACCGGGCAGACAGACAGGCAGACAGACAGACAGACAGACAGACAGGCAGGCAGGCAGGCAGACAAGACAGACAGACAGACAGACAGGUGAAGAGUAAACACCUACGUUUGGUGUACCCUUUGAUGGUGCAGGCCAGACUGAAGAGCUGAAUCAGCCAGCAGUGGUUUGACACCAACGACUUGAUGAAACCACAGGCCAGGAUCUGACCAGACAGACAGACAGGUGGAGACAUUGAGACGGUUUGACUCAGAGAGGGUGAGGAUGAUGAUGAUGAUGAUGAUGCAUCUUACCGACAGGAUGUUCUUCAUAGUGAUGACGAACACGUUGUAGCCAAUUAGGAAAUCCCAGUACACCAAGAUGGAUUUCACUGGUUUCAGCAGCAGAUUUCCGCCAACCAACAGGAAGUAGAAACACGCCACCAGGUAACCCAUACAGAAGAUACUGAUCCUGCAACAGGAAGUAGAAUCACAUCAAGAAGUAACCUAUAAAGAAGAUACCGAUCCUCAAACAGAGAGUAGAAACAUGUCACUAGGUAACCUGUACAAAAGACACCAAAUACUUGAUUGUAUUAACAUUAUUGGUGAAUAUUCACGUUCAAGUUCAGGUUGCAGUGGCUCCGCCCACUCACCUAGUAGUCCCAGUAAUGAAGAUGAUGGUGAGGACAAACCAAAACAUGUAGCUGAAGAUGAUAAGCUUCAUCAUGUCCAGGUAAGACCUGCAUACAAAGAGGGCAAAGGUCAGACGGACAAUGAGACACCAAGAAAUAAGGAGAACGGGGCGGGGGGGCUACCUGCACAGCAUGAAGUCAGGGCCUGUGUUCAGACGGAGUCGCCUGAUUGCAUCUGGAACCUGUUCGUCAUCCUCGUCCAGCUCACAGUUGUCUCCUGCGAGGAUCUGAACCGACGACCGGAGCUCUUCCUCAAACACCUGCAGCUGCAGAGAGGCACCGAGGAGGAGCAAGAAGUCAUCUGAAAGAUUAGGAAAGAGGAGAUAAUGAGGGGGAGCAGGAAAUCAUCUCAGACGGUGGUGAUGAUGAUGAUGAUGAUCCUACAGAGGAGGAAGAUUGGGUUUGGAGGUGUCAGGUGAUCGGGCAGGAAGAGCCACUUCACCACGUUGGAGUCCAUGUUGGAGGACGGAGGUCUCCAUGGAUAAUCUGCGGCCGGAGGGAACCCGAUACACAGAAUGUACUGGAAACAUAGCAGCCCUGAGAGGAAGUAGCAGUACUUGGGCCACACUGAGGCAAUGUGCCUCCUGCGCCGCUUUGAUAGGACACUGAUGAGACCAAAGGCAUGGCCUACAGCGAACAGGUCCAUCCGCUGGCCAAUCACGUUCACAGCCAACAGGAAGCAGGUCUGAGGAAGAGCGUGGGAAUAUUUUUAAACGUGAAGAUGUUAGCUUAUUGCUAACCUCGGGGUGUGUCUCACCUCCAGGCCAAACUUGUAGAAGAAGUAGUUGAGGAAGUACUUCACACAGCUUAGCACGCUGUCGUCCAGGUGGCGCCUGGUGAUGUCAUGAAACAGCGUUUUGGUGGCGGGCGGAACCUCGUUACGUCGGAGUCGGUAGAGCUCCUGGUGUCUGUAAACUGUUACCUCAAAGGCUAACAGCGCUAAUAUCAUCAGGUUAUGCUGCAGAAAGAGAUUAGCAUGCUGUUACGUUAUCAGACCCAACUUCAUCAGGUUAGACUGGUUAGCACGAUGCUAUGUGAUGAGCAUCAUCAUAUAAUGUGGAGACUGGUUAGCUAGAUGCUAGAUCUCACUUCAUCAGCGUAGCCUGAUGCUAGGCUAUCAGAGUUGCUUUGUCACUCCUCACCCUCAGGUAGUCCAGCAGUUUUCCGUCAGUCUUCCGUAGCCCCACCCACUGGGCGGGGUCAACUGCACCGGCGUACAGAACAGAGCGAGACAGGUCGGCGCUGGAGUUACCUGGCUACAGAGAGACAGACAGGUAUGGUACCGCUACAGGAGGCUUUCUGGGGGGGUAACAGACAGACAGGUAUUUGGCCAGUGUGGAUGGAUGUUGUUGACAUGGUUACCAUGGUGCAGUUGGAGGAGUAUCUGAAGGGCUGGACAAUGUUGAGCUGGUACAACAUCUUACAGACAGUCACCACACAGGUCCAAACUGUACAGACUCCUAACAGCAGGGGGCGCCACGCCCUGUAGGGCAGAGCCACGGCCACACACAGCACGAACAGCAGGUUAAACACGCACACCUGCAGAGAGACAGACAGGUUCAACACACACACACCUAUAGGGACAGACAGACAGGUUUUACACGCUCACCCAUAGAGGUCAAACUGAAAGACAGACAGAUCUCACCUCCUUUACACAGACCCAGAUGAUGUAGCAGGAGACGAUCUUAACUAUGUGGAGUUCCAGGAUCCACCACAGAAGGUGCUGCAGGCGCUGCAAGGAGAGGAGGAGGCGCAAGAACAAAACAGAGAGACGGUCCACCACCAACCUCCAGGAGACCAGCACUGAGGACGAGAGAACAGGAGUGAACUUCCUGUAUGGAAGAGUCCCAGGAGGAGUUGAGGGGUUUCACACACCGACAGGUCGAACAGGCUGCCGUCGGAGUGGACCAGCCUGCAGAGAGAGACAGUCUUCAGGUCGGUCAGCUGCAGGAAUGGCUUGUGGAAGUAAUGCAGGUGAACGAUGCACACCUGAGGAACAUGGUCAGGAGUCAACUUCCACAUGACAUGUGGCGCACACUGUCUCUGUGGAAAUGUGAGAGUACCAAGAGGAACGCAGCAGGGAUGAAGAUCCUGGUGAAGAGAACGGGAACCGAGAACUUCUCCAAACCAAUGUCCUCCAACCUGGACAGGAGCAGCACCUCCUCGUACGACACCUCCUCCUUCUCCUGCACGUCCUCAUCGGCACUCGGCUGCUCCUCUAACGGACGUAAAACAAGAGGGAGACGGACCAGUUAGCGCCUGACGCAGCAGCAACCAGAAGGUCAAGAGACACAACAACUGCAACGACAACAACAGUAGUAUCAGUACAAGUAGUAGUUGUAGUACAUGUAGUAGUAGUAGUAGUAGUAGUACCUUGGAGGCCAGCUCACUGCAGGGAUCUUCUUUCCUCGGGAACAGUCCCGGGACUUCUCGGAUGGGGGGGAAGCUGUAGACAUACUGCAGGAGGACCAGCAGGUUGCCGUAGGCGACCAGCCAGGGCGAUGACAUCAGCGUGUACCGGCGACGCUCUCGCAUCAUCCAGAGGACGCACGACCACAGCAGCAGCACACACGUCAGCCAGGACACCAUCAAACACAGAUAAGAACCGCCAUCAUGAAGGUCACUGUCUGUCCUAUGACACCAUCAUGUCCCCAAUGGUACCUGUCUGUCCUGUGGGAUACCUGUCUACCUCUCUACAGUAUCCUUCAACCCAUAAACUCACCUGAUUGGCUGAGAGAGUAGUGAGACGCGGCGUAAGCAUCCAAUUCAAAUACUUUGCUCUGGGUAGACGGGGCAAACGCGUCAGAGGGACUGUCAUCGGUGGAUGAUACCUAGAGACGGACCAAGAGACAGAAUGGGGACUUUAAACAACAAAAUUGAAUUCUGUGUAUUCAUGAAAUGAUCACAAUAAUGAAUGAAAGCGUAAUAUGUAUUUUUUUGUUUCCGUACGCCUCGGCACUCGGGACGAUCGUGAGCUCUCCUCCACGACUCUCUCCGUCCCUCCGCUGUGAUGUCACUGCCGACCUCAUCGCUCAAGUUGCUGGUGGCAGUUAUGAUGUCACAGCUCCCGCUGAUGGCUGACUCCUCCCUCUCUAUGCCCCACCACCCAACGCCAUCGAUCAGCUGCAGAAACAUGUGACACACUUCAGCCAAUUAGAGCGUCUUUCCUUCUCACCGUCCCUUCCCGUCCCUUCCUGACUGGCAGGACCAUACAGAUGUUUAUCUCUGCCAACUCCAUUUGGAAAGUGAUAUAUAUAUAUAUAGUUUUAAACUUGUUUUAAACAUGUUUACUGCCAUUUCAUUGCUUCUUCUGCUCCUUUACGCAUUAUCUUUGACAUGUUUGAAAUAGAUCUGAUAUAUAAAAUGACAUCAUACUGUAACAUUAUGACUGUAUGACAUCAUAAGCAGAAGUUCUAACAUGCUGUAUGAUGUCAUCCUGUGUUGCGUGACAUCACCUGGUUCCUCCACAGAGUGGCCACAGUGUGGUAGAGCAGCAUCAGCAUCAAAGGACUGGUGAAGUGAAACCAGCUUAGCUCAGAGUUCACCUGCAUCCUCCAGGGGGCAGAACAGUUCACGGAGACCAGGGGCAGCAAGCCAAACAGACUGCAGUGGAGACAUGCACCAUCAGUAGACCAUAAACCAAUCAAUCGAUCGACACAUUAAUGAAUCGACCCGUCAAUGAAAUAAGACUGAGAUCUACUGUUGAUUUACAGGAACAUGUUGUUGUGAAGAAAGUCUGUGUUUGUCUCAACCUGUAAUUAAGUCACUUGUCUGACUCCACAGGGUG